rnacentral:rRNA from 1 species
GACGAACGCUGGCGGCGUGCUUAACACAUGCAAGUCGAACGGAAAGGCCCUGCUUUUGUGGGGUGCUCGAGUGGCGAACGGGUGAGUAACACGUGAGUAACCUGCCCUUGACUUUGGGAUAACUUCAGGAAACUGGGGCUAAUACCGGAUAGGAGCUCCUGCUGCAUGGUGGGGGUUGGAAAGUUUCGGCGGUUGGGGAUGGACUCGCGGCUUAUCAGCUUGUUGGUGGGGUAGUGGCUUACCAAGGCUUUGACGGGUAGCCGGCCUGAGAGGGUGACCGGCGACAUUGGGACUGAGAUACGGCCCAGACUCCUACGGGAGGCAGCAGUGGGGAAUAUUGCACAAUGGGCGGAAGCCUGAUGCAGCAACGCCGCGUGCGGGAUGACGGCCUUCGGGGUGUAAACCGCUUUAGCCUGUGACGAAGCGUGAGUGACGGUAAUGGGUAAAGAAGCACCGGCUAACUACGUG